UGGGGAAUAUUGCGCAAUGGGGGAAACCCUGACGCAGCGACGCCGUGUGAGGGAUGAAGGCUUUCGGGUCGUAAACCUCUGUCGGGAGGGAAGAACCUUCUAGGUCCUAAUAAGACUUGGAACUGACGGUACCUCCAAAGGAAGCACCGGCUAACUCCGUGCCAGCAGCCGCGGUAAUACGGAGGGUGCAAGCGUUAAUCGGAAUCACUGGGCGUAAAGCGCGCGUAGGCGGUCUUUUAAGUCGGACGUGACAGCCCUCGGCUCAACCGGGGAACUGCGUUCGAAACUGGGAGACUUGAGUCCUGGAGAGGGUGGCGGAAUUCCGGGUGUAGGAGUGAAAUCCGUAGAUAUCCGGAGGAACACCGGUGGCGAAGGCGGCCACCUGGACAGGUACUGACGCUGAGGCGCGAAAGCGUGGGGAGCAAACA
rnacentral:rRNA from 1 species